GGGGGAGGAGGAGAAGGAGGAGGAGGAGAAGGAGAAGAGCAGCCCCGGCCCGGCACCACAGAUCGAGGCCUGCAACUGACAAAGGACUCAGAAUCAGCUCUUGUCAUGAAGCAAAGCACAAAUCUGAACUUAGAUGUGUCUUGGACAGAACAACACUUCUCUUUGUCUUGGGUGAGAUUUCAGCAUGCCAGUUGCACCACUGCAGGCAGAAAACUGCACAGACCUGUCUGACUCCAGCAGCUCCAAGCAUGGCCUCUGCCAUUCUGAAAAGACAGAGGAAAUAAGAGGGAACUUGGGCCAUCAGUGAGGAAAGUUUUCCUGUUUAUUGAGAAAAGUGAUCCCUUUGCUUCAUGGACAUGAGAGCACUGUCAGAGAUUUAGAAACUGAAUGUAAAAAGGAGAGGACAAUCAGAUGAAAUGACAGGGGAGCUGCUGUCCUCCUAAAUAAAUCACAGCCAAGAAAAAUGCAACUGCACU